rnacentral:rRNA from 1 species
CACGGGGGGCGCAAGCGUUAUUCGGAAUUAUUGGGCGUAAAGGGCGCGUAGGCGGUUCUGUCGGUCAGAUGUGAAAGCCCGGGGCUCAACCCUGGAAGUGCAUUUGAAACAGCAGAACUUGAGUACGGGAGAGGAAAGCGGAAUUCCUGGUGUAGAGGUGAAAUUCGUAGAUAUCAGGAGGAACACCGAUGGCGAAGGCAGCUUUCUGGACCGAUACUGACGCUGAGGCGCGAAGGCGUGGGUAGCGAACGGGAUUAGAUACCCCGGUAGUCCACGCAGUAAACGAUGUUCACUAGGUGUAGCGGGUAUUAAAACUUGCUGUGCCGCAGCCAACGCAUUAAGUGAACCGCCUGGGAAGUACGGUCGCAAGACUAAA